GUCCACGCCGUAAACGAUGGGCACUAGGUGCAUGGGGGAGCGACCCCCUGUGUGCCGGCGCUAACGCAUUAAGUGCCCCGCCUGGGGAGUACGGCCGCAAGGCUGAAACUCAAAGGAAUUGACGGGGGCCCGCACAAGCGGUGGAGCAUGUGGUUUAAUUCGACGCAACGCGAAGAACCUUACCUGGGCUUGACAUGGCCGCGACUGCCCGCGGAAACGCGGGCGUCCCUUCGGGGCGCGGUCACAGGUGCUGCAUGGCU
rnacentral:rRNA from 1 species